AGAUGCCUACAACUUAGCAUUAAUGGACUGGAUCCCAUUAGAACAUUGUAGUUAAGCACGCUUGAUCUAGAGUAGUACUAGGAUGGGUGACCCAGGAAGUCUUAGUAUUUUACAUGCC
rfam:Picea glauca, whole genome shotgun sequence.